rnacentral:tRNA from 1 species
AGUCUUAUAGUCAAUAAUGAUAUGAAAUUGCAAAUUUUAAGUAAUAUAUAAUAUAUAUAUUAAGACUU